rnacentral:rRNA from 1 species
CGUAGUUGAUCAUGGCUCAGAACGAACGCUGGCGGCAUGCCUAACACAUGCAAGUCGAACGAGACCUUCGGGUCUAGUGGCGCACGGGUGCGUAACACGUGGGAAUUUGCCUCGGGGUAUGGAAUAACUCAGGGAAACUUGAGCUAAUACCAUAUAAUGUCUUCGGACCAAAGAUUUAUCGCCCUGAGAUAAGCCCGCGUAGGAUUAGCUAGUUGGUGAGGUAAAGGCUCACCAAGGCGACGAUCCAUAGCUGGUCUGAGAGGAUGAUCAGCCACACUGGGACUGAGACACGGCCCAGACUCCUACGGGAGGCAGCAGUGGGGAAUAUUGGACAAUGGGCGAAAGCCUGAUCCAGCAAUGCCGCGUGAGUGAUGAAGGCCUUAGGGUUGUAAAGCUCUUUUACCCGGGAUGAUAAUGACAGUACCGGGAGAAUAAGCUCCGGCUAACUCCGUG